rnacentral:rRNA from 1 species
GACGAACGCUGGCGGCGUGCUUAACACAUGCCAGUCGAACGGAAAGGCCCUGCUUUUGUGGGGUGCUCGAGUGGCGAACGGGUGAGUAACACGUGAGUAACCUGCACUUGACUUUGGGAUAACUUCAGGAAACUGGGGCUAAUACCGGAUAGGAGCUCCUGCUGCAUGGUGGGGGUUGGAAAGUUUCGGCGGUUGGGGAUGGACUCGCGGCUUAUCAGCUUGUUGGUGGGGUAGUGGCUUACCAAGGCUUUGACGGGUAGCCGGCCUGAGAGGGUGACCGGCUACAUUGGGAUUGAGAUACGGCCCAGACUCCUACGGGAGGCAGCAGUGGGGAAUAGUGCACAAUGGGCGGAAGCCUGAUGCAGCAACGCCGCGUGCGGGAUGACGGCCUUCGGGUUGGAAACCGCUUUCGCCUGUGACGAAGCGUUAGUGACGGUAAUGGGUAAAGAAGCACCGGCUAACUACGUG